CCUACGGGGGGCAGCAGUGGGGGAUAUUGGACAAUGGGGGGAACCCUGAUCCAGCGACGCCGCGUGAGUGAAGAAGUAUUUCGGUAUGUAAAGCUCUGUCAGCAGGGAAGAAAGACAUGACGGUACCUGACCAAGAAGCCCCGGCUAACUACGUGCCAGCAGCCGCGGGAAUACGUAGGGGGCAAGCGUUAUCCGGAAUUACUGGGUGUAAAGGGAGCGUAGACGGUUAAGUAAGUCUGGAGUGAAAGGCCGGGGCCCAACCCCGAGACUGCUCUGGAAACUAUUGAACUUGAGUGCAGGAGAGGUAAGCGGAAUUCCUAGUGUAGCGGUGAAAUGCGUAGAUAUUAGGAGGAACACCAGUGGCGAAGGCGGCUUACUGGACUGUAACUGACGUUGAGGCUCGAAAGCGUGGGGAGCAAACAGGAUUAGAUACCCCGGUAGUC
rnacentral:rRNA from 1 species